CUCAAUUGAUAUGUGAUUGUUGAAUGGUAACAAAAUAACAACUCAGGAACAUUUGGGAAGCAUGAAGUGAAGCCUGCAAACCACUUCAAGCAGCCAAACUUGGAUGCCAAAGAAAAACGUAUAGCGUUUAUGACCUGUCGUAUCAUUAAUAAUAAUAAUAAUAGUAAUACAUUAGAUUUGUAUAGCGCUUUUCUAGAAACUCAAAAACGUUUACAUCAUAAACAUCGACAAUGAAGGGGCAGAAUACAUAUUCUUACAGAAACACACUAUAUUUAAAAUACUAGUGUAAAGACCACAGUGGCAAACUAAAUUCAAUUAAAUUAAUUAAAAUUACAUGUAAAUGUUACUUGGGUAACUGGAUUCCAUCAGAGUCACUUGGCUGGUGAGCUUUGACAUUUUACAUGCAUUGAAUAAUUGUUUAUGUGUUAUUAACUGUAAUAUAGGGUGGUAUGUGCUUGGUUUGAUUAUAACCAAAGUGGAUUUUUGGAAAUACCCUCUUCACCUCAGAUCAGUUCUAUUGUUGUAUCAGACUUGAGUUUUCUGUUUUACAGUACCAUGUCCUCUGAGGGUGCUGUGCCAGCAGCUGAACCCAGGUUACAUCGUCUCUCCGGCUGGUUUGACCCUGAAAGUGCUGCGGUGUUGACCAUCCUGCUGGGGCUGUUCCAGGUGCUGUUGUCUGUUCCACUCGCUUACGCUGACCAAACUCUGCCAACUCUCUUCAUAAUGCCACUUGUAAUAGGAAUUCUAAUUGUGGCAGGAGGAUCAUUCACCAUUGCCAAUGAAAGGAACUCCAGCAGAUUACUGCUCCGAGGUUGUGCAUGCAGUAAUGUGAUUGGCCUGGUGGGGGCGCUGCUUGCCUUCUGUCUCUACGGCUACUGCCUCAGCAUUGCAGACAGAGACCUGUGUGAUCCCACUGCUCCUGACCAUGAAUACAGAUAUACAUAUUAUGGGUGUCCCGGUGAAAUACUGAUGGCGUAUUGCUGGAGUGUGAUACUGCUGCUGCUGCUCUAUGACACUGGAGCCGUGGUGCUGCACAGCCUGCUGUCUGUCUCUGCCAUCAAAGCACUCAAAAGAGACUGAUACAUACACACCCACACACACACAGCUAACACACUUGCUAUACAUGUGGUAUAGCAAGUGUAUUUGCUUGCUCCAUAUUAGCAGUAGAAUUGAAAACUUUGAAAACUUAAUUCCCCUAACAAAUCUUUUGACAUUGCCAAAGUGUCGAUGUCUGUUUUUGUGGAUUUGGUGACACCAGGGGUUUUACAAUACCGAUCAUAUAUUUCUAUUCAAACCAAAAUCUGUCCUGACUUCAGUGAUUGUAACAACAAAUAGAAAUAAAGUUAUUCAGUCAGAUAGCAUAUACAUAAUAUAUAGAUUUGACAAUAUUAUAUUAAUUAAACUGUCAAUAACUAAGUGAUGAAAUAUUUUAAUAGGAAAUAAUAAGAAAAUAAAUGGAAAAGACUAAAACUCUUUCUGAUUGGCUGGCAGGUGUCAAAUAAAUCAUAAAACAGUGCACCUCAAACAAAGGUCUGAUCAUUGUUAGAGCAAUUUAUCAUUUUAGACCAAGGCUGAUUUUUUUGCGCACAUGUUGUUCGGACUACUUUCAUAUGUGGUUCUAUAUCAGACAAAGAUCAUAUUUUUUGCAAUGCGACUCCAGUCUGAACAGUGAUAUUGGAUCUCAUGCGACUUUAGCGUCACUGCAGAUGGACAUUCUUCACAAUUCUGCAAUGCUAAACAGUUUAGACAACAUGAGGUAACUGUUGCAAGCCAAUACAACCCAAUUCCUAAAUGGGUCCCUUGAACUGAGUGUCUUGCAACAAGUCUUAUGGAGAGGUGCAGGUAGAUGCAGUUAAUCGUAGCCCUUGUAAUCUGUUUCAGUGAAGCCAUUCAUUUUGAGUGUUGAUGGAUGGAGUUUUCUGUGAAGCACAUAUCGGGGCUUCAGAUAGUGGUUCAGAUCGGUUAGACCACUGCCACUUUCCAGUUUUAGAACACUAAUGUUAACCCUGCUGCCAUUUAUAAUAUGAUAAUAAUGGCAAUAUCAUUAUAUUUUGAUACAAUUAUUGGAUACAUUACUCAUAAGACAAUUACCGUUCCAAUACAUACUUAUGUUAUACAAUCCUAGUACAUUUAUUAGAAAACAGAUACUAUAAAUGGAUUACAUGGAAAUUGAUUUUUUUUUUCUUGUUUGCAGUUAUCCCCAAUAAUUUACUUCCACGAAAUACAGUAUAUCAAAGAUCACAUGGUUGAGAGAUGAUAUCUGCAUGACUCUUACACCAACAGCUGGUUUUGCUGGGGAAAUGAUACUAUGGUGGGCUGCCAUCGUCCACAUAACUAAUGGCAAACUCUAAGCAAAGAGUUGAUCAAGGAAUGAAAUGGAGGUGCUAGGUGUUGUAUGUCCAAAUGAGAGAACAGUUUUGAGAAUAGUAUGUAAACUUGCAAAAUGGAGUUUAAAGACAGUUUUGGUGGUGGUUGAGUUUGAGUGAGAUAACAGUUCAUGAAUUUUGAAACGUGUGUUAAGUGAAUGCAUUUUGUGUCAAAGCAAUGAAAAGUGAAUUCAGUAUUGAGUAAUGCACAUCCUUGAUGGUAAAAAUGAUCCUUCUUGCCAAAAUGCUAAAUGUCUUAUUUGAAUAAAUUCAGUUUCCCAUAGGCAAACAGCGGUAAUGGAUAAAGCUGUCUCCAAUGUUUUUUUUAUAUCGAGGCCCACUCUCUGUCUGUACAGAAAAUCAUUUUAUCUCUUUGUUUGACUCAGCGGUCGUCGUGUCGAAAGAAAGCAGUGGCAUGCAGCUCUUCCAGCAGAGCAUGGUGAAAUAUAUGAAACAAUUGACAGCAGUAGAUGGGACAUUACCGUCACAUAGGGGUUUCCCUUAUAUCAGUUGAACACAGGACCCCACCAUUAUCCUGCGACAUAGGGGACACCAGAGGGAUAACGGUCUAAGUUAAAAAAUAAUUACAUUAAAAUAUGUUAACAAAACAGUUAGUAUUUAAAACGUGUAUAAGUACAAAUCAGUAUAAGUUACAGUCCAAUGGUGCUGUUUAAGAAUAUUUUAAUUUUGUCUGAACACCCUCCCGCAAUCCAUGGAACGUGGAUGGUUCCUAAAAUGGCGGCGGUUUAUUCCAGUGUGAAGUGAAACUUUCCUAUUUUACGCGACAUUUUUCUCGUUUUCUAACAUAUUUUGUCGACUUAAGUCGUCUGUUUAUCAAAGUAAGCAUUACCGGAAUAUAGAGACGUUUGACAGUGAUCGUCAGGACCGAGCGGCGUCAUUCUGGACUCCGUUUUUGUUCGCCAAAUCGCUGGUCUUCUCUCGAAGUUGACGGUGGCUAAGUGCCUGACAUUGCCAUCAUACCGACUGUUGUUGUCAUCAAAUUGCUCAACGCUGAGAUCAGCUGAGAGAGGCAAGUAAUAACUUAGCUAGCCAGUCAAAGUCGAAAAACAACUCGACAGCUUUUCGUUCAGCUUGAUUCCGUCAGGGCUGGUCAGAGAUCCUGAGGACGUGUCACGUCACCUGUCAUUUGAAAUAAAUAGGUGGAGUUGGAUGUCACCACCAGUCAGUGACAGGCUGAAUUUGGUUUGCUAGAGUUGUGUAAGUACCCGUUUAUUUUCACCUUUAUUCUUGCUUCACUGUCACCAGUGUUUGUCUGAACAGCUUGUUCUGUUUUGUGGCCUGCAGUCACUUGUCUCGAUGGUAUGACUGUCUGGUUUUAAAAUGCUAGCCAUAACAUAAGCCAACUGUGUACGCAAUAUUGCAUUCCAAAUCACCAACGUUACUAUUGACAAAACAUGGCCACCUUUGUCUAAAUGUUUUCUCAUCGGUUGCUAUUUUUUUAAGGGAGUGGCUGUAGAUGAUAUGGUUUGUUUUGUCUUGAUUUGUUAACAAUGGCCUGAUAAGUAAAUGGCCAAUAAUCAUCUACUCUAGGUUAUUAGCAUUAAAAUACAGCGUUAGGCCUCUGACUGUCCACUUUCUGUUUCCAAACAUUGUUUUUGACUCUUAUUUCCG
rnacentral:lncRNA from 1 species